UACGUAGGGGGGCAAGCGUUGUCCGGAAUCAUUGGGCGUAAAGAGCGUGUAGGCGGCUCGAUAAGUCUGCUGUGAAAGUCCAGGGCUCAACCCUGGAAGGCCGGUGGAAACUGUCGGGCUAGAGUCCGGAAGAGGCGACUGGAAUUCCUGGUGUAGCGGUGAAAUGCGCAGAUAUCAGGAGGAACACCCGUGGCGAAGGCGGCUUCCUGGGGCCAUCCUGACACUGAGAAGCGAAAGCUAGGGGAGCAAACAGG
rnacentral:rRNA from 1 species